GUGGCCGUAGCUCAGUUGGCAGAGCGCAAGGUUGUGGUCCUUGAUGUCGCGGGUUCGAGCCCCGUCGGUCACC
rnacentral:tRNA from 1 species